rnacentral:lncRNA from 1 species
ACUGCGCAUGUGCAUGGACAUAGUACUGCAACUUGAGAGCAAGCCAGGCGAUACCGAGACUCAAAUUCAUCGUCAGUUUUUCAACGUAAAAACAGGUGAGUGCUUAAGAACAGGUUGCUGGAAAUGUUUAAUUUAAAAUGUUUGAAAUUCAUGGUCCUUUCAUGCAUCAGUUUAGCAGCUUGUUCGUUAGGAUGAGGCCUAGCUUGUUGCUACUAGCAUGGGACUAACAGCAGUCAGUGCUAGUCGGCGUUCCGUGUUUUUUUUAACUAAAUGGGAGGAAAUGUACGUUUUUCCCUUCUCCUCGCACAAUUGAAGAUAACAAAAUGCUAUACUGGAAAGAAAAAUAGGCCUAAAUUCGACGUUGCUUCAAUGCUGUUUCACAACAAGCAGUUUCCUGGUCGUAUUCAGGCCUUUUCCAGCCAGUUAGCCAGUAUAGCAUUUUUUAUCGUUGUUGUUGGACAGUUUGCAAACUGACUGGGUUUUUUUUUACCAAGCACAUGACGACAUUAUUUUUGAGAAAAUGUGUCUUAUACUUGACUGUUAGGGCUGUAUUCAUGUUCUUUCAAACGUUUUGAUGGAGCCAUGGUUAUGUGCUUCUAUUAAAGAUUUUUCCCAAACCUUUUUCAUAUUAGAUUUUAGUAAUGAAGCGUAUUUUGAUGCUGGGUGGUGGGCUUCAUGGGAAGAGGACAUUCAAGUCCACCACCUUCUGUUCAAUCGUUUCUGGUAAAAAUAUGAGCUCAUAGAACUAGGUCUUUGUUAAUUGCGCCUAUAAAUGUGUGAUGUGAUGUACAAAUUGUGUAUAUGGCUUCUGGCCCAUUUCCUUUCCCCUUCCACAAUUGCAGAAGCUGUCCGGAAGACGUUUGCAGGUGCAACGGAGGCCGAGGUCCACACAGCGAUGGGAGAACAUUUCAAGCACCCCUCCACCUCGAAUUGGUGGAGGGGGGUUCCAGAGGCCGAAGAAAUCAGCUGACUAAUUUUUCAUCUCAGACUUGGCUCCUGACUGUAUCAGUCAGUUCAAUCUCUGCCUUAUGUGAUUUUACAUUUUCCAAGGCAUUGCUGGUCAUUUUUCUGUGAUUAUAUAUUUCAAGAACUACACUAUAACCACUCUAUCCUGACUGUAUUAGUCAGUUCAAUCUCAUGCUCCCUCUGUGCACUCUGAUUCCUAAGACGCAGGGUUUGUGAAAGUUUUUAAAAACUUGUUGGGUCAAACGUUUACAAAUCUUUUUGCACUGUUUAAUUGUAAGGGAAUGUUACAGACAUAUACCUAUGGCCAGAUGUUUGUUGUUAAAUUUGAAAUUUUGUAUUGUAAGAUUUUUAUUUAUGGUAAUGGCAGAGUCGGAUAUUAGAAACAUAUUGUUAACAAUUUAAUAUUUUUUAUUCUAUUAUGCUUAUUAUUGAUGCUCUUAAAUAAUGCUGAGAGAGAACCAACAUGCUAAUUAACUGUCAAAUCAGCCUGAAAGACAUUAACACAUCCAUCAAGGUAAGGAUAACAAGGAAAGUUUGGUCUGUAAGAUGGGUCCAAAUAUCAUUUUGGGGCUUUUAAAGGUUGAUGGAGAGUAUUUUAAUACUUAAUCAGUAUAAAUAAGUAUUAAAAUACUUACAAUUUUAUUAUAGUUUUAAAUAGUCAUCUAAUAAACGUCUAUAGUCUAUAACCUGGUAUAAAUUUGGUCUAAUCAUGAAUUAGCGGUUGUUUCUACAUCAAAAUAUAGAUAUAUGUCUAUAGACGUUGUUCAUACGUCUAAUAGACAUCUAGUCUAAAUAUAGUCAUCUAAAAAACUCAUUCCUGCACCAUUUUUAGACGCAGCAACUAGGUGGCAUAUAGACGUCCAUUAGACGUCUAUAUGCUUCUUCAAGUCAGUCGUGACGUCUAUUAGACCUAAAAAUGCUCGGUGGAGACUUUAAUCUCGAAGUCUUUAAAAACAUUCUCAAUACAGCCCUCAUACUCCAUACAAAACAUGCAAUCACUGGAUGAAUUUUGUGGAAAUUAUCUGUGCUUGUAUGUAUCUAUUGUUUUGUUUCAGGUAGUCGGAUUUAGUCGCCGGAUCCUUUUUUUUUUUUUUU